GAUGAACGCUGGCGGCGUGCCUAAUACAUGCAAGUCGAGCGAACGGACGAGAAGCUUGCUUCUCUGAUGUUAGCGGCGGACGGGUGAGUAACACGUGGAUAACCUACCUAUAAGACUGGGAUAACUUCGGGAGACCGGAGCUAAUACCGGAUGAUAUUUUGAACCGCAUGGUUCAAAAGUUAAAGACGGUCUUGCUGUCACUUAUAGAUGGAUCCGCGCUGCAUUAGCUAGUUGGUAAGGUAACGGCUUACCAAGGCAACGAUGCAUAGCCGACCUGAGAGGGUGAUCGGCCACACUGGAACUGAGACACGGUCCAGACUCCUACGGGAGGCAGCAGUAGGGAAUCUUCCGCAAUGGGCGAAAGCCUGACGGAGCAACGCCGCGUGAGUGAUGAAGGUCUUCGGAUCGUAAAACUCUGUUAUUAGGGAAGAACAUAUGUGUAAGUAACUGUGCACAUCUUGACGGUACCUAAUCAGAAAGCCACGGCUAACUACGUG
rnacentral:rRNA from 1 species